UACGAAGGGGGCUAGCGUUGUUCGGAAUUACUGGGCGUAAAGCGCACGUAGGCGGAUUGUUAAGUGAGGGGUGAAAUCCCAAGGCUCAACCCUGGAACUGCCUCUCAUACUGGCAAUCUCGAGUUCGAGAGAGGUGAGUGGAAUUGCGAGUGUAGAGGUGAAAUUCGUAGAUAUUCGCAGGAACACCAGUGGCGAAGGCGGCUCACUGGCUCGAUACUGACGCUGAGGCGCGAAAGCGUGGGGAGCAAACAGG
rnacentral:rRNA from 1 species